UACGUAGGGUGCGAGCGUUAAUCGGAAUUACUGGGCGUAAAGCGUGCGCAGGCGGCUUCGCAAGUCAGACGUGAAAUCCCCGGGCUUAACCUGGGAAUGGCGUUUGAAACUACGGAGCUGGAGUGUGGCAGAGGGAGGUAGAAUUCCACGUGUAGCGGUGAAAUGCGUAGAUAUGUGGAGGAAUACCGAUGGCGAAGGCAGCCUCCUGGGCCGAACACUGACGCUCAUGCACGAAAGCGUGGGGAGCAAACAGG
rnacentral:rRNA from 1 species